rnacentral:rRNA from 1 species
UGGGGAAUAUUGCACAAUGGGCGCAAGCCUGAUGCAGCCAUGCCGCGUGUAUGAAGAAGGCCUUCGGGUUGUAAAGUACUUUCAGUCGGGAGGAAGGUGGUAAGGUUAAUAACCUUAUCAAUUGACGUUACCGACAGAAGAAGCACCGGCUAACUCCGUGCCAGCAGCCGCGGUAAUACGGAGGGUGCAAGCGUUAAUCGGAAUUACUGGGCGUAAAGCGCACGCAGGCGGUUGAUUGAGUCAGAUGUGAAAUCCCCGGGCUCAACCUGGGAACUGCCUUCUAAACUCGCAGGCUAGCGUCUUGUCGAGGGGGGUACAAUUCCAGGUGUAGCCGUGAAAUGCGUAGAGAUCUGGAGGCAUACCGGUGGCGAAGGCGGCCCCCUCGACAAAGACUGACGCUCAGGUGCGAAAGCGUGGGGAGCAAACAGG